UCAGGAUGAACGCUAGCUACAGGCUUAACACAUGCAAGUCGAGGGGUAGCAGGGUAGCAAUACCGCUGACGACCGGCGCACGGGUGAGUAACACGUAUCCAACCUUCCCAUAACUCAGGGAUAGCCUUUCGAAAGAAAGAUUAAUACCUGAUAGUACUUUUUCAAGGCAUCUUGAAAAAGUUAAAGAUUUAUUGGUUAUGGAUGGGGAUGCGUUCCAUUAGAUAGUGGUGAGGUAACGGCUCACCAAGUCUUCGAUGGAUAGGGGGUUCUGAGAGGAAGGUCCCCCACAUUGGUACUGAGACACGGACCAAACUCCUACGGGAGGCAGCAGUGAGGAAUAUUGGUCAAUGGGCGAGAGCCUGAACCAGCCAAGUAGCGUGAAGGAAUGAAGGUCCUAUGGAUUGUAAACUUCUUUUAUAGUAGAAUAAAGUGAGCCACGUGUGGUUUUUUGUAUGUAUACUAUGAAUAAGGAUCGGCUAACUCCGUGCCAGCAGCCGC
rnacentral:rRNA from 1 species